rnacentral:lncRNA from 1 species
UCACCGAAAUUUCAACCUAAAAUCAGCCAUGGGAAAUCUUGUUAUUCGGCCAAACUUUGAAGACAAAUUGGUGAGUGGUUUUUGCUCGGUUUUUAAUAAUUUCUACGUUUUUGAGAUCGUUGCUUUGUAAUUUAGCUAACCCGUACCUCCGUUUCUAAAACUGUUAAAGAUUUUGUGAAUUUCCAUUGUUGAAUACUUGAGCUCUUUGAUAGUUUUUGAUGAACUAUGGAUCUUUGAUGUUAGAUUUUUCAUCUUUUAUAAAGUGAUUUUUGAUAAAAUGUUAAUUAGGGAUUAAAUUGUGAAUUGUGGAAAUUUAGUGGUUAAAAUGUGAAAAAAAUUGAAAAUAUGGGAUACUAGUGAUAUAUGGAAAAUUCGGCUAGCUUGGAUUUGUGUUUAAUUUCAUGAAAUUGUGAUUUUAUGUGAUAAGGACUAAAUUGUAAAAAUGUGAAAUUAUGGGGAAAAAGUGUAAAUAUGCUUUAAGGUAAAUUUUGGAUUAAAUUGAAUAGAGAGAUAAUUAAAUAAGCUGAUUUUGAUUAUAUUUAGAUCGAGAAAAGUGAAAUACGGAUCUAGAUUGGAGAAAAGAUAAAGUAUCGGACCAGUCGAUCUGUUCCGUUGUUUUAGCAAUCGAGGUAAGUUCAUAUAAUCGAACUUCAGUGUAUAUUUAUGUAAUUAAUGAAUGAUAGUAUGAAUGUAUUCAUAUAAUUGAUUUAAUUGUGGAG